rnacentral:lncRNA from 1 species
AAGGAGGUGGUCUAAAGUUACAGCAGUGGGGGCUGGCUAAGUGGUAUUACCUGAUAUCACUUUGGUAGAGGUUCUUAAGGGAAGAGCUUGAGAAUUGAAGAGUGAAGGCAGUGUGGAUUUGCCAUCUCUGUCAGCUGACCUUAUGACACAGCUGCUGGGACUGAAUCUGUUACAGCUCAUCAGAUCUGUGGCUGAUCAGACAACUCAGUGCCCGGGUGGUCAGUAUAAAUCUGUUUUUGUGCAGUGGCCUUCUGCAGGGGCAGGUAGGAUUCUUAUGUAUUCUCCUUCCUCAGCUGCACUGCCAGCAAGGAGCAUCUUUGAGCGUGCACAAAAAUCAUUCUGUGUGGUCUUAGAGAAAAAGCUACACUAUUAUCAUCUUCUUCUUUUUUUUUUUUUUUUUCUUACCAUUAUCUGAUACAUCCAAUUGGGAUACUGUGCAAUUGGGAGUAUUGUUACAUAUACAGAUUCUCUGAGGGAGCUUAUGGACUUGUUUUGGUGCCUGGCUUUAAGAACAUGACCUUGCAAACAUUUCUUUGCAUGAAUCUUGAGUGUAUGAGUAGAGCCAUGAAGGGCAAUAGGACUUUUGUAUGACAAAGCUUGCGUAAGAAAUGGUUUGCAGGGCUGAGCCCUCAGCUAGCUGUCUCUCUGGUAGACAAAGCUUGGCCUCCUCUUUCCCCUGGGCUUGCUGUGUGCCCUCAAAAGCCACACUACGGUCCUCAUUUUCAAAAAGAGAAUUACCCCAGUGCACACUCAAGACUUGUCUCUUCAUAUGCUCAUGAUAAUAGCAGGAGAGAAAAAAGGGCAAAUCUGGCUUUCGUUUCAUGCCUCCCUGUAAUUUUACUUGCCUUUGCUUCUGGUGCUCUGCUUGUCUCUCCAGCUGUAUCUACAGCAGAAAGACAGUGGUAAAUCAAAGCCUUGAUGGCUUCUGGAGAUGUCUGCCCCUGAAUUUUGGUCUCAGAAAUGGCUUAAGAGGAAUACAAAUUGAAGGUAAUUUCCUUACUCUGAUAUGGAUUUUCAUUUGAUUUUUACUGUAUGUUUUCAAAAAGAAC